rnacentral:tRNA from 1 species
GCGUUGGUGGUUCAAUGGUAGAAUUCUCAUCUUCCACGUGGGACAACCGGGUUCCAUUCCUGCCCAGCGCA